rnacentral:rRNA from 1 species
AGUGAACGCUGGCGGUAGGCCUAACACAUGCAAGUCGAACGGCAGCACAGGAGAGCUUGCUCUCUGGGUGGCGAGUGGCGGACGGGUGAGGAAUACAUCGGAAUCUACUCUGUCGUGGGGGAUAACGUAGGGAAACUUACGCUAAUACCGCAUACGACCUACGGGUGAAAGCAGGGGAUCUUCGGACCUUGCGCGAUUGAAUGAGCCGAUGUCGGAUUAGCUAGUUGGCGGGGUAAAGGCCCACCAAGGCGACGAUCCGUAGCUGGUCUGAGAGGGUGAUGAGCCACACUGGAACUGAGACACGGUCCAGACUCCUACGGGAGGCAGCAGUGGGGAAUAUUGGACAAUGGGCGCAAGCCUGAUUCAGCCAUACCGCGUGGGUGAAGAAGGCCUUCGGGUUGUAAAGCCCUUUUGUUGGGAAAGAAAUCCAGCUGGCUAAUACCCGGUUGGGAUGACGGUACCCAAAGAAUAAGCACCGGCUAACUUCGUGCCAGCCGCCGCCGUAA